rfam:Myceliophthora thermophila ATCC 42464 chromosome 2, complete sequence.
AGCGAGCUGGCGCAGCGGAAGCGCGCCGGGCUCAUAACCCGGAGGUCACUCGAUCGAAACGAGUGCUCGCUA